CACGUAGUUAGCCGUGGCUUUCUGGUUAGGUACCGUCAAGGCUGGAUCAGUUACUAUCCAACUUGUUCUUCCCUAACAACAGAGCUUUACGAUCCGAAGACCUUCAUCGUUCACGCGGCGUUGCUCCGUCAGACUUUCGUCCAUUGCGGAAGAUUCCCCA
rnacentral:rRNA from 1 species